rnacentral:lncRNA from 1 species
GCUGUGUGUGUGGGGGGCUGUGUGUGGGGGUGUGGUAGAAGGUGGGGUGUGUGGUAGAAGGCUGUGUGUGGCAGAAGGCUGUGUGUGUGGGGUGUGUGGUAGAAGGCUGUGUGUGUGGGGAUGUGGGGUGUGUGGUAGAAGGCUGUGUGUGUGGGGAGUGUGGUAGAAGGCUCUGUGUGGGGUCUGUGGUAGAAGGCUGUGUGUGUGGGGUGUGUGGUAGAAGGCUGUGUGUGGUAGAAGGUGGGGUGUGUGGUAGAAGGCUGUAUUUGGGAUGUGUGGUAGAAGGCUGUGUGUGUGGGUGGGUAUGUGGGGUGUGUGGUAGAAGGCUAUGUGUGUGGG